GAUGAACGCUAGCUACAGGCUUAACACAUGCAAGUCGAGGGGUAACAAGAGAAAAGCUUGCUUUUCUUGUUGACGACCGGCGCACGGGUGAGUAACGCGUAUCCAACCUGCCUAUAACUAGGGAAUAACCUUGCGAAAGUAAGACUAAUACCCUAUGAUUUCCUUUGAUGACAUCAGAUUAGGAAUAAAGAUUUAUCGGUUAUAGAUGGGGAUGCGUCUGAUUAGCUUGUUGGCGGGGUAACGGCCCACCAAGGCAACGAUCAGUAGGGGUUCUGAGAGGAAGGUCCCCCACAUUGGAACUGGGACACGGUUCAAACUCCUACGGGAGGCAGCAGUGAGGAAUAUUGGUCAAUGGGCGGAAGCCUGAACCAGCCAAGUAGCGUGCAGGAUGACGGCCCUAUGGGUUGUAAACUGCUUUUAUACAGGAAUAAAGUUAGCCACGUGUGGUUAUUUGUAGGUACUGUAUGAAUAAGGACCGGCUAAUUCCGUGCCAGCCGCCGCAGUAA
rnacentral:rRNA from 1 species